rnacentral:lncRNA from 1 species
AGAAAGUAGAAUUUUCUUUAUGGUAAUAAAAAUUAAAGGAAUUAAAUUAGUCAUGAUCUUACUUAAAGAUAAUAACAAACGUUGUCCAUAGAAAUAUAACCAGUGGCUUUGUCAACCAUCUCUUCUGGUGUUAGUUCUGCUGCAAAUACACACCCACACUGCUUUUCAACGAAUGCGCAAAAUGUGGGUUUACCUAACUGAUAUUUGUUUGACUAAAAGCUGCGAAAACAACAGACACAACUUCAAAAGUUUUUCCAAAUACAUACAUACAUAAAUACAUAUGUAUGUACACUAAAAUAUAUAUGUAUGUAUUUAUGUGUCCACGCAUAUGCAGCAAAAACAAUUGCAUAAAACCUAAAUCCAAGGGCCAAUUCGCCCA